rnacentral:rRNA from 1 species
GAUGAACGCUGGCGGCGUGCCUAAUACAUGCAAGUCGAGCGAACGGACGAGAAGCUUGCUUCUCUGAUGUUAGCGGCGGACGGGUGAUUAACACGUGGAUAACCUACCUAUAAGACUGGGAUAACUUCGGGAAACCGGAGCUAAUACCGGAUAAUAUUGUGAACCGCAGGGUUCAAAAGUGAAAGACGGUCUUGCUGUCACUUAUAGAUGGAUCCGCGCUGCAUUAGCUAGUUGGUAAGGUAACGGCUUACCAAGGCAACGAUGCAUAGCCGACCUGAGAGGGUGAUCGGCCACACUGGAACUGAGACACGGUCCAGACUCCUACGGGAGGCAGCAGUAGGGAAUCUUCCGCAAUGGGCGAAAGCCUGACGGAGCAACGCCGCGUGAGUGAUGAAGGUCUUCGGAUCGUAAAACUCUGUUAUUAGGGAAGAACAUAUGUGUAAGUAACUGUGCACAUCUUGACGGUACCUAAUCAGAAAGCCACGGCUAACUACGUG